UCCAGUGUUCCCUCAACUGAGUUUUCUGGAUACAUGGCAACCCUUGACUUUUAACCCUCUCCUGGCCCUCUCCUGGCCCCCAGCUCAUAGUACACCUCAGUCAUAGAGCUUAUUGGAUAGACUUGCUCCUGCGUCCACUUGGCCGACUGCACUAAACUCCUGGAAAGCAAGAAGAACACAGAUCUCUACCGAGUGCCUACCAAGCCCACGGAGGAACCGGCUUCUCAAAUAAGCCUCUCUACAGCUCCUUUGGCUUUCUGACAAUGUGUGGGAGUAGGAUUCUGGAAGAAGAAGAUUUUCAGGAGUUUCCCAACCAACCAGCCAGGAAUUGCUUUCUGCACAUGCCUGUGGAAUAAAGUGGGGGAGACACAUGCACACACAGAUUCAGUUCUCCAACUUCAGGUUUCCAUCUUGAAAUACAAAACCACCCAGGACCCUGUCUUGGACAUGAACAGAAGGACAGCUUUGGAGAAGUGACAUGAACUAACAUUUUUCGAGUUGACAUCGCUCAAGAUAAAUGAUGCUGUGAGGCAUUUGUGCAAACAUCCUGACCCACAGUUUGCUGCUGAAGACUGCCUGCCAUGGGUGCCUUCGACACAGUGUUUUGCCUGGACUGAGCUGGAAUCCUGUGCUCUGGCCGGCAUCCCUCCUAACCCGGACAAAUUAAUUGGAAACAGAUGUCAAGCUGCGGGAGUUAAAUACAGACAUCUUACCAAAUGUCAGCCCUUCCCCGGGGCCACGAUGGAGUCCUCACUUCUCAUCCUCACCAGGGAGCUGGGAACAAGGCCCUUCACAUGCUGGUGGAAUGGUUUUUCACAAUUUCCUGAUUGGCUGUCUUGACGUCAUUGUACAAAGAAUGGACAGUGGAUGCUGGAUGGCCUCCAAAGCUGCACUUGUCCUUCAGGUUCCAGUCCCACUCUCGGCCUUAGGCUCUGCUGCCGUGGCCUGAUCCAGCCUGUUUUUCAUGGAGCACACCAGAAUGGACACCAGUGGCCAGGAGCUGCCUCUGUAAUCACGUCUCCUUGCAAAGGAUCAAUGCCUGCUCUUCUGCAAAGGGCCAGCAACAGUGUCAUCGGAAUGAGUUCAGGCCUUUCUGAGGGGGUCCUUUUGAGGCCAGCUGACCUAUGAAUGAGGGGGUGCUUAACAACCAAGCAGAAACAGCUCAGGCUCUGCCUGGAAAUGUGGGAGGCUGUGUGUGGCGCGUGUGUGUUCCAGGACGAUGAGAACUCAUCAAGACUCAUCCAGAUCUUUCUGGGAAGGGAUUCCCUAGGGUUCAUCAUCAUAGAGCUCACCUCAGCUAUGGACAAGCUGAAAGACCCCCUGAGAGUAGCCAGAGAUUGGGUCAAGUCAGUCCUGCCUUCUUGCUCCCGAGGGUGUCAUCAGGCCUGGGUCUCUGUACGGAGGGGACUGCAGCUCGGAAAUGAGGCUGGCUUGGGAACGUUUUUCCACACGACCCCCCCUGCCCCCACCCCGUGCAGCUGUGUAAUGAGCCCACAUCUGUUACCACCACAUGUUGCUCGGCGCUUCGCAGAUGUAAAGUCUCAAUUUUUCUAAUUAGCAGCAACACGAAGUCUAUCUUAAUUUUCUCCUCCCCUCCCUCUAAUAAACGUGAUAUUAACAAGGUUA